CCCGCCGGUAGCCAUCUUCGUGCAUAGGCAAACUUAUUGUAGCUAGACUGUACAAAGUAUAUCAAGAUAUGCCAAAUAUUGAGCUUAACUUCACCUGUUUGAGAGACGGUGUUUCUUUUAGCUUGCAACACCAUGAAAAAAUUACUGAGACACUAGGAAUGCUGUGAACUGAGAAAGUUUGGGACCUUUGGCAUAACUAAAUCCUUCAUUUAACAGUGUUGUGAACCACUUGUCAUGGGAUAACCAAAAUUAAACCUGGAAUCGCAGAAGAAACAAAUUUUUUGAAGAAAUUGGAUGUACUUUUUUAAAAUUUUUCAUUCAACUAAAACUUUGUUAACUGUUUCUUGGUUGUGGUCUUCUCUAAAUUGUAAUCUUUGGCAUUCACUUCCAAAGUAUCCACCACUAAACUUCAUAACAUUUAUUGUGUCUCUUCAUCAUUAAACUUUGAUGAAUUUACAGAGUGUCUUUUGAAAUUAUGUUCUUGAGAAAGCCAGGGGAUUGGACGGUGUCAUGGAAAUGUCAAAGAAAAAGUGACACCUGAGAGAAAAUUUGAAAGAUGAAAGUGCUGUUAAUACGGAAACUGGUCUAAUAUGGAAAACAGGUGAACAUGGAGCUGCUUUGUUUGACUCAGGGAUGAGAGAUACCCAGGUCCUAAUUACUUGUCUUUAACUUUCCUUAGGGAGUACUAAUUUGGGAGUCAUUGUUCUAAACAAUUAAAGUGAAGUAACUGUCCUGUUUUUCUCUUUUACCCUUGUGAACGAGGAAGCUCAGGGUUAAAGUCUAUGUCUUUACUUAUACAUUUCUGUGUUGUAGGAUCUUUUAAUAAAGAUUUUCUCCUUUUA
rnacentral:lncRNA from 1 species